rnacentral:misc_RNA from 1 species
AUGAAUAAACUUGGUCAGGUUGUUGCCGGUUCUUUCGGGGACAUGUGCACGCUUGCCACCAAUUUUAACCACCUGUGCACCUUUUGUAGACUGGAAACGUUUCUCGAGGCAACUCGGAUUGAGAACUGCUGCGCGCAAGCCAGCUGUUCUUGUGUUUCUCAGUCUAUGUUUUCAUAUACUCCUAAUGUAUGUAAUCGAAUGUAUUGCUAGGCCUUAGUGCCUUUAAAUCAAAUA